CUUGACGGUACCUAAUCAGAAAGCCACGGCUAACUACGUGCCAGCAGCCGCGGUAAUACGUAGGUGGCAAGCGUUAUCCGGAAUUAUUGGGCGUAAAGCGCGCGUAGGCGGUUUCUUAAGUCUGAUGUGAAAGCCCACGGCUCAACCGUGGAGGGUCAUUGGAAACUGGGAAACUUGAGUGCAGAAGAGGAAAGUGGAAUUCCAUGUGUAGCGGUGAAAUGCGCAGAGAUAUGGAGGAACACCAGUGGCGAAGGCGACUUUCUGGUCUGUAACUGACGCUGAUGUGCGAAAGCGUGGGGAUCAAACAGGAUUAGAUACCCUGGUAGUCCACGCCGUAAACGAUGAGUGCUAAGUGUUAGGGGGUUUCCGCCCCUUAGUGCUGCAGCUAACGCA
rnacentral:rRNA from 1 species